rnacentral:tRNA from 1 species
GGAGAGGUGGCAGAGUGGUCGAUUGUACCUGACUCGAAAUCAGGCAAGGGUUUAUAGCCCUUCGAGGGUUCGAAUCCCUCCCUCUCCGCCA